CGAAGGGUGCAAGCGUUACUCGGAAUUACUGGGCGUAAAGCGUGCGUAGGUGGUUCGUUAAGUCUGAUGUGAAAGCCCUGGGCUCAACCUGGGAAUGGCAUUGGAAACUGGCGACCUAGAGUGCGGUAGAGGGUAGUGGAAUUCCCGGUGUAGCAGUGAAAUGCGUAGAGAUCGGGAGGAACAUCUGUGGCGAAGGCGACUGCCUGGACCAGCACUGACACUGAGGCACGAAAGCGUGGGGAGCAAACAGGAUUAGAUACCCUGGUAGUCCACGCCCUAAACGAUGCGAACUGGAUGUUGGGUGCAACUAGGCACUCAGUAUCGAAGCUAACGCGUUAAAGUUCGCCGCCUGGGGAGUACGGUCGCAAGACUG
rnacentral:rRNA from 1 species